GACGAACGCUGGCGGCGUGCCUAAUACAUGCAAGUCGAACGAGAGCGCCCGGUGCUUGCACUGGUCAAUCUAGUGGCGAACGGGUGAGUAACACGUGGGUAACCUGCCCAUCAGAGGGGGAUAACAUCCGGAAACGGAUGCUAAAACCGCAUAGGUCUUCGAGCCGCAUGGCUUGAAGAGGAAAAGAGGCGCAAGCUUCUGCUGAUGGAUGGACCCGCGGUGCAUUAGCUAGUUGGUGAGGUAACGGCUCACCAAGGCCGUGAUGCAUAGCCGACCUGAGAGGGUGAUCGGCCACAUUGGGACUGAGACACGGCCCAAACUCCUACGGGAGGCAGCAGUAGGGAAUCUUCCGCAAUGGGCGCAAGUCUGACGGAGCAACGCCGCGUGAGUGAAGAAGGUUUUCGGAUCGUAAAACUCUGUUGUUAGAGAAGAACAAGUGCUAGAGUAACUGUUAGCGCCUUGACGGUAGCUAACCAGAAAGCCACGGCCAACUACGUG
rnacentral:rRNA from 1 species